rnacentral:lncRNA from 1 species
GGUUCCUUGGGGGCGGCCGCCUUCCACAGAGCGAGCCUGAGGCACCCGCUGCCUUUCUGCUCUACUGGCUCGGUCCUUUACGGUGUUGCCUUGUAUGUGUGGCUUUGUCUCCUGUUGACUCCCGCGGUGACCUGCUGGUCGCAGGCAGGCUGCACGUACAAAAACGCACCUCACACGUGUGCCACGCUUUGUUUCUAAGCAGUCCUGGUGUCCGGAAAGCUCCAUUUGCUUCAGUGCAAGCAACCUGCUCUAGCGGGAAGUACUCCUGCCCAUAGCAGGGGUUGCAACUGGUGGUCUUCAAGUCCCCCCCAGCCCAAACGAGAGAGGAGGCUCAGGGGAGGUCUUAACACUCUCUAUGAAGACCUGAGAGGAGGUCCUUUCAAGCUGGGGGUUGCCCUCUUCUCCCAGCAGAAAAGGACAGCUGUUUACUGUGACCUCUGUCCAGCAAAGGCCCACAUACUUAGCAAGAGUUAACUCCUCCUUGUUAUGAGGAGUAAAAUGUGAGAAAAGUCAAGAAGUGUAAAUCUUCAAAGGAUAAUGUGCAGUUAGAUGCCAUUUGGCAUGAUGAAGAAUAUCACACUGCAGCCCGGAGAGGCAGUGACAUUAUUCAGGAAGCCUUGAGAAUCAAUAUUUCCUGUCUCCUACUCCUGUGCUAGUUCAUCACCAUUUAGAAGAAGAACCCACGUUGAAUGCUGAUAUCAGAAGUCCAGAGGGUGCUGGCACAUCCCUCCUCCCCUCCUGGGAGUACGCCUGCCUGGGCUUAGGGCCAAGGGCAUUCAAGCAUCGUGGAUAAUCCCAGGAUUUCUUUGAGAAAAACAGUUGAGAUCAGAAAUACCACAAUCACAUCCAACUAAACACUGUCAAAAUUUUGGUGGAUCAGCUCUGCAGCAGAUUGAGUAACUUGUCCUCAUGUAACACGAGCAAAAUACUUCAGAAGGAACUUAAACCCCGUGAGAUUUCCCAACCUAAGUGCUCUGCUGAAUCAGUGCACCACCUGCAUUGACAGCUUGUUGAAAUACUUAGUAUUUCAGUCAUCCGUACAAGAUUAUAUAGAAGCAGAUAAUUUCAACAUAAAUGGUGUUUGAAGAACCUGCUUUCAAUAACCAGGCUGGUAUAGAAUGAGUGCAAUAAUUUAUUUACUUGGUGGGUUAUUGCUGAUCCACGUACAGUGCGACAUAUGCAUUCCCUUUGAUCACAUCAGUGUUACGUUGACAGCUAACUUUUGAUAAUUCAAAAUCCUUUUGCAGUAGCUACUGUGUGCUAUAUUUCUAUAUUUAAAUCUAAUUAAAACUUUUGUUCUGAACAUGAUUCUCCCUUUAAUGCCA